GAGCACAGAGCCUAUGGGUUAACAGACGAACACAAUUUAGAGACAGAAAAAACUGGGUAUGUACGUUAGUCCCCUUAUCUGUGGUUUCGCUUUUCACAGUUUCGGUUACCCGUGGUCAACUGAGUCUGAAAAUAGCUGACUGGCACCCUUCUCUCUGGCUGGCAGCGGAUUAGCACACUGAAUCCCAUCCCUGAGAUGUCCUGGCACACAUCCUGGGCCCCUCUGUGAAGUGUUUGCCAUGGCCUCGAGCCCCUCAGGUUGAGUGCACUUGUCUGCAAAGGGCUGUGUUCUACAGCAACGUGGGACCCACGAAGGAAGCCUUAUGAUUCAUUUUUCAUCUCAUCAUUACUCGCCUUGCCUGUAUGCCAAGGCUGGGAAGCAAUGGGCCAGAGGUUUGUGCUCUGAGCAAUUCUGAAUCAUGUGGAGAAUAUGAAGGAAAAUGAGAAGUUUAAAAAUACUCCAUAGGAAAGAAAUGGUUCUUGCCACCUGGGCCUCAUCAUGGGACAACUUACCCCGUGGCAGCUGCUUUCCUUGAUGUGAGCCAGCAGGUCAGAGAAGGCAUCCAGAAGAGAAGCCACAGCCUUUCUGCAGCCCAACCUCAGAAGGGCCAUCCCAUCACUUGUACGCCUAAUGAAUGCUUUAUGGCUGAGAAAUGAUGGAGGAAGCGAGUGAGACUGAAGAGAUGAAGAAACUGAGGCACACAGAGAGAGACCCGGACGUGGCAUUCCCAGCAGUACUCAGAAAAGGAAGAAAGUACCGGAUUCCACACUGGGAUUGAUAUGUGUGGGACAAAGGUAGCUGGUUCAGAAAUUGGAGCUGAAAACCUUGAGAAGAGGUCCCUUGGAAGUGGCAGCAAUCUGGAGGAGAGCUUUGGGUUUCCAAAGGCCACAGAAUGGGUGGGAGGCACAAAGGCUUCUGCUCUAGAACUCCCUUCUUCUUACUCCUGAAAUGUUGGAUGAUGCUAUGGGAAACAGAUGAGUUUGUCCAGGGAACCAUGUGGAGUACGAACAGAGGGAAGGCAAGAAAGGAACUCGUCAAACGGAUCGAAGAUAAGAGAUGGAUGGGCCCGGGACAUCUUCCCCAGUGGCUCUUGUCCACGGGACACCUGGCUUGUACCCACAGAAAGUUGGCUUCCAGCCAUGCUUGAGUGAGAACAGUGAGGGCCCUUGCCUUCCUACAACAGGCUGUCUCUGACAGAAGAAUACAGUUCAUCAAAAGUGUCUGCAGGUUGUCAAACUCAGAGAGGUUUGGGGACCCUCUGAGGCUGUCGUGGUCAACAAGAAGAUUUUCUGUUGGGCUUUUCCAUCACUCACCCUGAGGAAAUAAUCACUCACUACAUUCUGCAUGUUCUCAUGAUAGAGUUCUCCAUUUGAGAGAAAAGAGCCAUUUUAUCAAAGGACAAUAUAGCCCUUCUCUGGGUCCACGUAGCUUCCAUUAUCAGACCAUAAUAAAUCAUAUUUAUGUUCCCAGUUAAUAAGACUGAUUACAACACAGGUUCCAGACAUGGGAAAAGCAAAGCAGGUGAAAAGAUGUUUUAAUGAAAAUAUGAUAAGAAAACAGCUUCUUGUGAACAUUCUGUGCUAUUAUUUGUAAUGAUUACAGACAAUUUUUGAUGCAUCUUGUUUAGCAAUGGUUUAAGCUGCAUAAAUUGGCUCACUGGUAGAUAAGUAAAAAUGAUAAGAAAAAAUCAUGAAAUCUUCUUAUGUUGUCUAGAAUCAUUAUGUACAUAACAAGGGCAAAAUGGGUUUAAUGUAUAUGCUGGGGAUGGAGGGGAAACAGGCUUCUCAGAAAAGCAUGGCUUGGGUAUUAUUUGAAAUGAUUUAGAAAUUUUCUCCUCAUCUUGCUUAUUAAAGAUGUGUUCUCCCUGAAAUUUGGGGGUGCUAGGCAUUAAUUUCAUCUUUGUAAAUGAAUCUACAGCUCUACUUCUUUUAUCCAAUCUCAAAGUUGUUGUUUU
rnacentral:lncRNA from 1 species